UACGAAUAACCGUUUGACGCAGCGUGAACAAUUCCACGAUCGAUGAGCCACGAAAUCGUGAAUAUAAUUAAAAUUAUCCGACGGUAAAAAAUUCGAGCGAAUAACUCGAUUGAACGAACAGAGAAGAGACAGCGAGAUAGAAAAGAAGAUAAAAGAGCGUGAAACGGAGGACGAAACUUCGGGCGAGCAUUUUACCAACAUAAAGCGGUAAAAUCCUACAAAGGCCAUCACACAGAGGCCGAGUUACACGAAACCGUUCUCAAGACCAGAAAAACAUGAACACGAGAGAGGGCCGCGAGAAAGUAUGGGGAAGGGGCAGGUCGGGGAAAAAGGAAGAGAGAGUCAAAGAGGGUGACGGUGAAGAGGAGGAACAAGAGGUUGGAGAACGCCGGAGGAAGAGUCGAGAACAACGGUUGGGCUCGUCUACGGGUCGGGCUAAUUACAAAACACAAUUAAAAUGGUAUCACGAAAACGCGCUAAGUAAUAUCGUUUCAACGGUGAGUCGAGUUUAACCGGACACCCGGUACAGAUUCGUAGAUUAAUGCUCUUUAAUAAACAGACCCUACAACA
rnacentral:lncRNA from 1 species